CAGAUUUCAGAACACUGACCAUAAAAAACUCCUGGAAGUGAUGCUACUAAUGCUGUUUGGUUUAGUCGUCCUGGAACGGCAUCUAUUUUAAUUCCUAAGGUUUGAACGGUUCAAGAGUGAAUUACAUCAUCUGCCGUAAUUAAGAGUUGAAUAGGGGUUUUAAAAGGUGUAACCAUACGGUGGUCUACAUGUAAAAGGCGAAAUUCUCCAUGUAUUAGGUCGUUAGUUGGAAUUAUAUAGGAAGAGAAUUCUAAGUUGUUUUGAUCAGUAUAUUCAUAGGUUCAAUACCAUUGGUGACCAACAGCUUUAAUAGUUAAAGAAGGGAAAUUUAGUUCUUCUAUUAAAUAUAAGAUUCAUAGGGAUGGAAGGGCCAAUGAAAUAAGAAUUAGGGCGGGGAUUAUAGUUCAGAUCGUUUCAGCUACAUUAGAGUCUAGAAUAAAUUUGUUAUAGGUUUUAGUAGAGGUUAAGUGAAUAAAAUAUAAAGUACAAAAGAGCUAAUAAAGAUAAUUACAAUUAAGCCUGAAUCAUGGAAGAGUAAUAACUUUUCUAUGUGAGGGGAUGUAGCAUCUUGAAAACUAAGUUGGGCGGCUAGAGGCAUGUAGGGCUCGUAAGGCUUUAACUUACAACUUCGUUAUGACAAAACGAUAUAAUUUUUACUAGGGCUCUAGUAAGGUGGCCGAGA